CUUUGCAGCCAGGCUGCUCCCGCUGAUGGCAGCGGAGGAGCCGACGUGUGGCACUGCAUCGCCCGCAGCGCCCGUACAGCUGAGCGCACACACGUGCGCAGGGAGCGUUUUAACGCAGAGCCUUCCGCUCUCCCGGCGCGGCCCAGGAGAAAACACCGCGUCCCGCCCCGCUGCUGCCGGGAGGAACAGUGAUGCGGUGGGUUCUGUUUGCACGACUUCGGUGAAAAACUGUCUGCGAUGAAAGUGCAGCCGUGGAGCGGAGCGGCGCGCAGUGCGCUCCGGGGGAAGCUCAGACUGCAGUCCGUGCGCUCUGUGCUGCUGCUGCAAAACCGCCGUGAGCGGCGGCACGAGGGGGGGCACUGACAGCACACCACGGUGACACCGCCCUGUGGGGCGGGGGGGGAUGGGGAUCCAGGGGUAUGGGGUUGGGUUUGGGGUCUGGGAGGUGAUGGGGAUCCAGGGGUAUGGGGUUGGGUUUGGCACUGGGAGGUGAUGGGGAUCCAGGGAUAUGGGGUUGGGUUUGGGGUCUGGGAGGUGAUGGGGAUCCAGGGAUAUGGGGUUGGGUUUGGGGCCUGGGAGAUGGUGGGGAUCCAGAGACAAGGUGUUAGGUUUGGGCUCUGGGAGGUGAUGGGGAUCCAGGGAUAUGGGGUUAGGUUUGGGCUCUGGGAGGUGAUGGGGAUCCAGGGAUAUGGGGUUGGGUUUGGGGUCUGGGAGGUGAUGGGGAUCCAGGGGUAUGGGGUUGGGUUUGGGGUCUGGGAGGUGAUGGGGAUCCAGGGAUAUGGGGUUGGGUUUGGGGUCUGGGAGGUGAUGGGGAUCCAGGGAUAUGGGGUUAUGUUUGGGGUCUGGGAGGUGAUGGGGAUCCAGGGGUAUGGGGUUAGGUUUGGCACUGGGAGGUGAUG
rnacentral:lncRNA from 1 species